UACGUAGGUGGCGAGCGUUGUCCGGAAUUACUGGGUGUAAAGGGCGUGUAGGCGGGGAUUCAAGUCGGAUGUGAAAUACCGUGGCUCAACCACGGGGCUGCAUCCGAAACUGUAUUUCUUGAGUGUCGGAGAGGAAAGUGGAAUUCCCAGUGUAGCGGUGAAAUGCGUAGAUAUUGGGAGGAACACCAGUGGCGAAGGCGACUUUCUGGACGACAACUGACGCUGAGGCGCGAAAGCGUGGGGAG
rnacentral:rRNA from 1 species